GCCUUUGUGGUGUAGUGGUCUGCAUGCUCGACGCUUAACCCAGAGGUCCGUGGUUCGAUUCUCGGCGAAGGCG
rnacentral:tRNA from 1 species